rnacentral:rRNA from 1 species
GGUUAAGCGACCAAGCGUACACGGUGGAUGCCCUGGCAGUCAGAGGCGAUGAAGGACGUGCUAAUCUGCGAAAAGCGCCGGCGAGGUGAUAUGAACCCUUGACCCGGCGAUGUCCGAAUGGGGAAACCCAGUGUGACUCGUCACACUAUCAUUAACUGAAUCCAUAGGUUAAUGAGGCGAACCGGGGGAACUGAAACAUCUAAGUACCCCGAGGAAAAGAAAUCAACCGAGAUUCCCCCAGUAGCGGCGAGCGAACGGGGAGGAGCCCAGAGCCUGAAUCAGCAGGUGUGUUAGUGGAAGUGUCUGGAAAGGCACGCGAUACAGGGUGAGAGCCCCGUACACGAAAAUGCACCUGCUGUGAGCUCGAUGAGUAGGGCGGGACACGUGGUAUCCUGUCUGAAUAUGGGGGGACCAUCCUCCAAGGCUAAAUACUCCUGACUGACCGAUAGUGAACCAGUACCGUGAGGGAAAGGCGAAAAGAACCCCGGCGAGGGGAGUGAAAAAGAACCUGAAACCGUGUACGUACAAGCAGUGGGAGCACCCUUUGGGGUGUGACUGCGUACCUUUUGUAUAAUGGGUCAGCGACUUAUAUUCUGUAGCAAGGUUAACCGUAUAGGGGAGCCGGAGGGAAACCGAGUCUUAAUUGGGCGUUAAGUUGCAGGGUAUAGACCCGAAACCCGGUGAUCUAGCCAUGGGCAGGUUGAAGGUUGGGUAACACUAACUGGAGGACCGAACCGACUAAUGUUGAAAAAUUAGCGGAUGACCUGUGGCUGGGGGUGAAAGGCCAAUCAAACCGGGAGAUAGCUGGUUCUCCCCGAAAGCUAUUUAGGUAGCGCCUCGUGAAUUCAUCUCCGGGGGUAGAGCACUGUUUCGGCUAGGGGGCCAUCCCGGCUUACCAACCCGAUGCAAACUGCGAAUACCGGAGAAUGUUAUCACGGGAGACACACGGCGGGUGCUAACGUCCGUCGUGAAGAGGGAAACAACCCAGACCGCCAGCUAAGGUCCCAAAGUCAUGGUUAAGUGGGAAACGAUGUGGGAAGGCCCAGACAGCCAGGAUGUUGGCUUAGAAGCAGCCAUCAUUUAAAGAAAGCGUAAUAGCUCACUGGUCGAGUCGGCCUGCGCGGAAGAUGUAACGGGGCUAAACCAUGCACCGAAGCUGCGGCAGCGGCACGCAAGUGUUGUUGGGUAGGGGAGCGUUCUGUAAGCCGUUGAAGGUGGCCUGUGAGGGUUGCUGGAGGUAUCAGAAGUGCGAAUGCUGACAUAAGUAACGAUAAAGCGGGUGAAAAGCCCGCUCGCCGGAAGACCAAGGGUUCCUGUCCAACGUUAAUCGGGGCAGGGUGAGUCGACCCCUAAGGCGAGGCCGAAAGGCGUAGUCGAUGGGAAACGGGUUAAUAUUCCCGUACUUGGUGUUACUGCGAAGGGGGGACGGAGAAGGCUAUGUUGGCCGGGCGACGGUUGUCCCGGUUUAAGCGUGUAGGCUGGUUUUCCAGGCAAAUCCGGAAAAUCAAGGCUGAGGCGUGACGACGAGGCACCACGGUGCUGAAGCAACAAAUGCCCUGCUUCCAGGAAAAGCCUCUAAGCGUCAGGUAACAUCAAAUCGUACCCCAAACCGACACAGGUGGUCAGGUAGAGAAUACCAAGGCGCUUGAGAGAACUCGGGUGAAGGAACUAGGCAAAAUGGUGCCGUAACUUCGGGAGAAGGCACGCUGACAUGUAGGUGAAGCGGUUUACCCGUGGAGCUGAAGUCAGUCGAAGAUACCAGCUGGCUGCAACUGUUUAUUAAAAACACAGCACUGUGCAAACACGAAAGUGGACGUAUACGGUGUGACGCCUGCCCGGUGCCGGAAGGUUAAUUGAUGGGGUCAGCGCAAGCGAAGCUCCUGAUCGAAGCCCCGGUAAACGGCGGCCGUAACUAUAACGGUCCUAAGGUAGCGAAAUUCCUUGUCGGGUAAGUUCCGACCUGCACGAAUGGCGUAAUGAUGGCCAGGCUGUCUCCACCCGAGACUCAGUGAAAUUGAACUCGCUGUGAAGAUGCAGUGUACCCGCGGCAAGACGGAAAGACCCCGUGAACCUUUACUAUAGCUUGACACUGAACACUGGUCCUUGAUGUGCAGGAUAGGUGGGAGGCUUUGAAGCGUGGACGCCAGUCUGCGUGGAGCCGUCCUUGAAAUACCACCCUUUAAUGGCUGGUGUUCUAACGUGGGCCCCUGACCGGGGUUGCGGACAGUGUCUGGUGGGUAGUUUGACUGGGGCGGUCUCCUCCCAAAGAGUAACGGAGGAGCACGAAGGUUGGCUAAUCCUGGUCGGACAUCAGGAGGUUAGUGCAAUGGCAUAAGCCAGCUUGACUGCGAGCGUGACGGCGCGAGCAGGUGCGAAAGCAGGUCAUAGUGAUCCGGUGGUUCUGAAUGGAAGGGCCAUCGCUCAACGGAUAAAAGGUACUCCGGGGAUAACAGGCUGAUACCGCCCAAGAGUUCAUAUCGACGGCGGUGUUUGGCACCUCGAUGUCGGCUCAUCACAUCCUGGGGCUGAAGUAGGUCCCAAGGGUAUGGCUGUUCGCCAUUUAAAGUGGUACGCGAGCUGGGUUUAGAACGUCGUGAGACAGUUCGGUCCCUAUCUGCCGUGGGCGCUGGAGAAUUGAGGGGGGCUGCUCCUAGUACGAGAGGACCGGAGUGGACGCAUCACUGGUGUUCGGGUUGUCAUGCCAAUGGCACUGCCCGGUAGCUAAAUGCGGAAGAGAUAAGUGCUGAAAGCAUCUAAGCACGAAACUUGCCCCGAGAUGAGUUCUCCCUGAGACUCUGAGUCUCCUGAAGGAACGUUGAAGACGACGACGUUGAUAGGCCGGGUGUGUAAGCGCAGCGAUGCGUUGAGCUAACCGGUACUAAUGAACCGUGAGGCUUAACCUU